rnacentral:lncRNA from 1 species
GGAGUAUUCCAGAGUAUCGAUUUUCCACAGAGAACGUGAGUGUACUAAUUAAGAUCCAAGAUCGCCCAAGAAUAACUAUAUAAUUAUUUUUGGUGGGAAGAGAGGAAGUUUCCUGAGAGUUCUCUAAUUGAUCUAAGAAUCAAGAAUUACUUCAAGAUUAUCUAUUUCGGGACAUCAGAACACUAACCAUAGAAAGAGAUGAGAAGGGGGCUAGGAAGCUCCGACUACGGUCCUACAAACACCGAUCCGAACGAGGUGGAAUACGUCGACCGUUAGGGCUGUCACUACCCUAGGGCU